rnacentral:miRNA from 1 species
CAGCUGGAGAGAUGGCUCAGCUGUUAAAGGCUAGGCUCACAACCAAAA